CGGCAGUGCGGCUGCUUCACAUGCAGUCGACGAUGAUCCGGUGCUUGCACCGGGGAUUAGUGGCGAACGGGUGAGUAACACGUGAGUAACCUGCCCUUGACUCUGGGAUAAGCCUGGGAAACCGGGUCUAAUACCGGAUAUGACCUGUCACCGCAUGGUGGUGGGUGGAAAGAUUUUUUGGUCUUGGAUGGACUCGCGGCCUAUCAGCUUGUUGGUGGGGUAAUGGCCUACCAAGGCGACGACGGGUAGCCGGCCUGAGAGGGUGACCGGCCACACUGGGACUGAGACACGGCCCAGACUCCUACGGGAGGCAGCAGUGGGGAAUAUUGCACAAUGGGCGCAAGCCUGAUGCAGCGACGCCGCGUGAGGGAUGAAUGCCUUCGGGUUGUAAACCUCUUUCAGCAGGGAAGAAGCGAAAGUGACGGUACCUGCAGAAGAAGCGCCGGCUAACUACGUGCCAGCAGCCGCGGUAAUACGUAGGGCGCAAGCGUUGUCCGGAAUUAUUGGGCGUAAAGAGCUCGUAGGCGGUUUGUCGCGUCUGCUGUGAAAGCCCGGGGCUCAACCCCGGGUCUGCAGUGGGUACGGGCAGACUAGAGUGCAGUAGGGGAGACUGGAAUUCCUGGUGUAGCGGUGAAAUGCGCAGAUAUCAGGAGGAACACCGAUGGCGAAGGCAGGUCUCUGGGCUGUAACUGACGCUGAGGAGCGAAAGCAUGGGGAGCGAACAGGAUUAGAUACCCUGGUAGUCCAUGCCGUAAACGUUGGGCACUAGGUGUGGGGGACAUUCCACGUUUUCCGCGCCGUAGCUAACGCAUUAAGUGCCCCGCCUGGGGGAGUACGGCCGCAAGGCUAAAACUCAAAGGAAUUGACGGGGGCCCGCACAAGCGGCGGAGCAUGCGGAUUAAUUCGAUGCAACGCGAAGAACCUUACCAAGGCUUGACAUGGGCCGGACCGGGCUGGAAACAGUCCUUCCCUUCGGGGCCGGUUCACAGGUGGGG
rnacentral:rRNA from 1 species